rnacentral:rRNA from 1 species
AUGUAAUUCAUAUAUCUUUAAUGCACCAUAUCAAAUUAGAACUAUGUAUUUAAGCGCACUUGGUCUAGAUUAGUACUGGGAUGGGCGACCUCCCAAGAAGUCCUAGUGUCUUACAUG